AGUUCCCUGCCGUGUUCGUGAUGGCUUAAGGCACUUGAGCCAACAACGAUUAACAGGGAGCUAGACUCCGAUCGUGGCUUGCUCGCCCGGUCUCCGGGAAGCAAAAAACGAUUGGGAGGUUCCCACAUUGCGUCCGGGUUCGAAGGCGCUUCUAGCCACACGGCACUGCGGCGGGGACUUU
rnacentral:other from 1 species